rnacentral:rRNA from 1 species
GAUGAACGCUGGCGGCGUGCCUAAUACAUGCAAGUCGAGCGAACAGACGAGGAGCUUGCUCCUCUGACGUUAGCGGCGGACGGGUGAGUAACACGUGGAUAACCUACCUAUAAGACUGGGAUAACUUCGGGAAACCGGAGCUAAUACCGGAUAAUAUAUUGAACCGCAUGGUUCAAUAGUGAAAGACGGUUUUGCUGUCACUUAUAGAUGGAUCCGCGCCGCAUUAUCUAGUUGGUAAGGUAACGGCUUACCAAGGCAACGAUGCGUAGCCGACCUGAGAGGGUGAUCGGCCACACUGGAACUGAGACACGGUCCAGACUCCUACGGGAGGCAGCAGUAGGGAAUCUUCCGCAAUGGGCGAAAGCUUGACGGAGCAACGCCGCGUGAGUGAUGAAGGUCUUCGGAUCGUAAAACUCUGUUAUUAGGGAAGAACAAAUGUGUAAGUAACUAUGCACGUCUUGACGGUACCUAAUCAGAAAGCCACGGCUAACUACGUG